rnacentral:rRNA from 1 species
GACAGAGGUGCCAAGCGUUAGGCGGAAUCACUGGGCUUAAAGCGUGUGUAGGCGGAUCGUUAAGUACCUUGUGAAAUCCCACGGCUCACCCGUGGAACUGCUGGGCAUACUGGCGAUCUUGGGCCAACUAGGGGCAGCCGGAACAAGCGGUGGAGCGGUGAAAUGCGUAGAUAUCGCUUGGAACGCCGAAGGUGAAAACAGGCUGCUGGGGUUGCGCCGACGCUGAGACACGAAAGCCAGGGGAGCAAACGGG